GGCAGCGUGGCGGAGUGGUUUGAGCGCUGGACUAGGACUCCGGAGACUAGGGUUCGAGUCCCCACUCCGUCC